rnacentral:misc_RNA from 1 species
CUGAGUUAUAGAUUGGUUUCGGCUGAUCAACUCUCACCCAUGUAUUGAUUGAUUGUUGCUUCGGUAGGGAGUCUGCGUAGCAGAUGAUCUACCAAAGUAGUAAACUUCAUGUCUUGCAGUCUGAGACUACAUUCAAUUUAAAA